CUGGGCGUAAGCGUGCGUAGGCGGUUAUUUAAGUCUGUUGUGAAAUCCCCGGGCUCAACCUGGGAAUGGCAAUGGAUACUGGAUAGCUAGAGUGUGAUAGAGGAUGGUGGAAUUCCCGGUGUAGCGGUGAAAUGCGUAGAGAUCGGGAGGAACAUCAGUGGCGAAGGCGGCCAUCUGGAUCAACACUGACGCUGAGGCACGAAAGCGUGGGGAGCAAACAGGAUUAGAUACCCUGGUAGUCCACGCCCUAAACGAUGCGAACUGGAUGUUGGUCUCAACUCGGAGAUCAGUGUCGAAGCUAACGCGUUAAGUUCGCCGCCUGGGGAGUACGGUCGCAAGACUGAAACUCAAAGGAAUUGACGG
rnacentral:rRNA from 1 species